GUAUUGUGUUCAGUUGGGCGCAUAGGGUUGAAGUGGUUGGCACUACUGCUGUGGAGCCUGGAGAGUGGAGAGAUCACCGGGUUAGCCAACUUGGUGUUAAGUUUCGUUUUUUUUUUUCUUUUCUUACGGUACAAUGAAGAAUGUCCCGCAGAUUUAAAGAGCUCUGGUGUAGAAUUGCAACGGAGACACUGCAAGGAAUUAGGUAAAACAAUGUUCUUGAAGGUAAAGUCAUCAAUGUGAGGAGGAGGAAAUUUGGUAUGGAAUUUAGCCAGUCAGACAAAAUAAUCCAGGGAGCAAGAGGAACUCGAGUAAAACAAAAGGUGCUAUGACCAUGCUGAAGUAGACUUUUCACAAGUGAAAAUAAAAGGUUAAACACGAAUUGAAUAAAGCCUGGAUAGCAGCAGCCAUGUCUUUUAUCGUCACAUCCAGGAAUUCUUUUUGGAACCCUUAUGUACCCUCCAAUGACCCUACUUACAAGCAGAACCAUACGAGAAGUAAUGGGCAAUUCUAGCAAAUGAAAGCAUCAUAAAUUCCUUGAUGUCAUGAUGUGGAAGUCAGUGGUUAAGUAGCAAGUUCCAAUCAUACAGGUAUUAAAGGAAGACCUGCAUUGGAAGGAAACUUGUUACUUUAAGAAAUAUUUAUUAAAUGUUACGGAAACUUCUGGAAAAGUGUGCUGGAGCAUACAUCAUCAUAAAUACAAGAGGCUCGAGAAUAUCCCUGGAUUCAAGGCAUUUAGACUGUUAAUUAAUGAAUAAAACAAAUGCUGAAU